rnacentral:rRNA from 1 species
UGCUUGCAUCUGGUGGCGACCGGCGCACGGGUGCGGAACGCGUAUGGAACCUGCCCCUGUCAGGGGAAUAGCCCAGAGAAAUUUGGAUUAAUGCCCCAUGGUAUCGAACCACUGCAUGGUGGUUUGAUUAAAGAUUUAUCGGACAGGGAUGGCCAUGCGUACCAUUAGCUAGUUGGUAAGGUAACGGCUUACCAAGGCAACGAUGGUUAGGGGCCCUGAGAGGGGGAUCCCCCACACUGGUACUGAGACACGGACCAGACUCCUACGGGAGGCAGCAGUGAGGAAUAUUGGACAAUGGCCGGAAGGUUGAUCCAGCCAUGCCGCGUGCAGGAUGACGGCCCUAUGGGUUGUAAACUGCUUUUACAUGGGAAGAAACCUCCCCUCGUGAGGGGAGCUGACGGUACCAUGAGAAUAAGGACCGGCUAACUCCGUGCCAGCAGCCGCGGUAAUACGGAGGGUCCGAGCGUUAUCCGGAAUCAUUGGGUUUAAAGGGUCCGUAGGCGGGCCUAUAAGUCAGGGGUGAAAGGCCACGGCUCAACCGUGGGACUGCCCUUGAUACUGUAGGUCUUGAGUUAUAGUGGGGUUGCCGGAACAUGUGGUGUAGCGGUGAAAUGCAUAGAUAUCACAUAGAACACCGAUCGCGAAGGCAGGUGACCAACUAUAUACUGACGCUGAUGGACGAAAGCGUGGGUAGCGAACGGGAUUAGAUACCCCGGUAGUCCACGCCGUAAACGAUGGAUACUAGCUGUCGGGACCUCGGUCUCGGCGGCCAAGCGAAAGUGAUAAGUAUCCCACCUGGGGAGUACGUUCGCAAGAAUGAAACUCAAAGGAAUUGACGGGGGCCCGCACAAGCGGUGGAGCAUGUGGUUUAAUUCGAUGAUACGCGAGGAACCUUACCAGGGCUUAAAUGCGGGCUGCAUGGG